rnacentral:rRNA from 1 species
UUAUGGAGAGUUUGAUCCUGGCUCAGGAUGAACGCUGGCGGCGUGCCUAAUACAUGCAAGUCGAGCGAACAGACGAGGAGCUUGCUCCUCUGACGUUAGCGGCGGACGGGUGAGUAACACGUGGGUAACCUACCUAUAAGACUGGGAUAACUCCGGGAAACCGGGGCUAAUACCGGAUAACACAUGAAACCGCAUGGUUUCAUGAUGAAAGACGGUUUUGCUGUCACUUAUAGAUGGACCCGCGGCGUAUUAGCUAGUUGGUAAGGUAACGGCUUACCAAGGCAACGAUACGUAGCCGACCUGAGAGGGUGAUCGGCCACACUGGAACUGAGACACGGUCCAGACUCCUACGGGAGGCAGCAGUAGGGAAUCUUCCGCAAUGGGCGAAAGCCUGACGGAGCAACGCCGCGUGAGUGAUGAAGGUCUUCGGAUCGUAAAACUCUGUUAUUAGGGAAGAACAAGGAUGUAAGU